AAAAUAACUAUUGGAGGAAAAAAAACAUAGAGAUAAAAAAUUAACAUUAUUUUUUCUAUUUUUGCUUAAUUUGGGCAAAAAAUAAAAUGAUUUUCCACAAAAAUUUUGAUAAUUUUUUUUUUCAUUUCAUCUUUUUCUUCUUAUAAAACAGGGCGAAUUAGACUAUUUAUUUUUCAUUGUUUUUUUUUCCUUCAAACAAAACAAGGAAAUUGUCUUUUUUCCCCCCAUCUCCUAUCAUUUUCCUCUUCGUUUUCCUCAAUACAAAACAUGCAUUAGUUAAAG
rnacentral:misc_RNA from 1 species